AAGUCGUAACAAGGUUUCCGUAGGUGACCUGCGGAGGAUCAUUACCGAAUUGUCAACACGAGUUGUUGCUGGUCCUCAAAACGGGGGCACGUGCACGCUCUGUUCACACAUCCACUCACACCUGUGCACCCUCUGUAGUUCCAUGGCGUGGGGGACUCUGUCCUCCUGUCGUGGUCCUACGUCUUUACACACACUCUGUAACAAAGUCUCAUGGAAUGCAUGACGCGUUUAACGCAAUACAAUACAACUUUCAGCAACGGAUCUCUUGGCUCUCGCAUCGAUGAAGAACGCAGCGAAAUGCGAUAAGUAAUGUGAAUUGCAGAAUUCAGUGAAUCAUCGAAUCUUUGAACGCACCUUGCGCCCUUUGGCUAUUCCGAAGGGCAUGCCUGUUUGAGUAUCGUGAACACCUCAACUCUCAUGGUUUGCCAUGAUGAGCUUGGACUUUGGGGGUUUUGCCGGCCUUUGGUCGGCUCCUCUCAAACGGAUCAGCUUUCCAGUGUUUGGUGGCGUCACGGGUGUGAUAACUAUCUACGCCUGUGGUUUUCUGCCAGAUAACCUUCAGCGAUGGAGGUUCGCUGGGGCUCAUAAAUGUCUCUCUUCAGUGGAGACAGCUUUUUGGACGUUGAUCUCAAAUCAGGUAGGACUACCUCGCUGAACUUAAGCAUAUCAAUA
rnacentral:rRNA from 1 species